CCCUUAGAUGUUCCGGGCCGCACACGCGCUACACUGAAGGAGGCAGCGUGUACUCCUGGAUCGAAAGAUUUGGGUAACCCGCGAAUCUCCUUCGUGCUAGGGAUUGAGGUUUGCAAUUAUCCUUCAUGAACGAGGAAUUCCCAGUAAGUGCAAGUCAUAAGCUUGCGCUGACUACGUCCCUGCCCUUUGUACACACCGCCCGUCGCUACUACCGAUUGAAUGAUUUAGUGAGGACUUCGGACUGGGACCGAUGCGGCUUUCGGGCUGCGUCGGUAUUCUGGAAAGAUGUCCAAACUGUAUCAUUUAGAGGAAGUAAAAGUCGUANCA
rnacentral:rRNA from 1 species